UUCACACUUCUCUUCCUUCUAGUCCGUGGGUCUGUCAUCCUCUUCCAUCGUGCCGUUCGACUGUUCCCUCGUCCGUGGUCUCACUUCAGUAUCUGAUCAAUCCCACUCUCUCACUCUCUACCUUUUCACUUGCUUGAUGGUUUCUCUUGCUCCCCACUUUUGUUCAAUCACAUAGAGGUUUCAGGUUGCAGGAGCUGCUUUCAUCUUUGAGGUGCAAAGUAGUUCUAGAUCAGAAGCAAGGAAGGAAGAAAUACGUAGACUGGAAAUACAAGUUGUCUUUGAGGCUUCCUCCUUGUUUUAUUUGGGCAGCAAAAGCAACCCUAUCAGUAUCAAGCCUUGUUGUCGGAAGUUUCGGAGAGAGCUGCCUAUGGAGGGUUUUGACUAGAGACUUGGCAGUAUGGGAUACUAAGUCCCAUAUUGAGUAGUAUGAGAUGCUCAAUGGGAUAUAUAAGUGGGAUGAUUCAAUGAUUUUCUUACUGCACAGUUGAAAAUGUCUGUGAGGCUUAUGAUCUCAUUGUUAGUACAAUACCAUGUUCUAUCUGACUUCAAAUUUUAUGGAGCUCAGAUGUUUGUAUAUGGCUUCAAGUAGCUUGAUUAACUAACUUAUCUUGUAUAUCAUUUCAGGUGAAACUCUAUCAGUGAAUUUGUAGACAGCAAGAGGGUGGAUCAAGAGUUGCAACAGUUGAGAUACUCAACCACAUUCAGCUUUUCUCGAAAUAUGGAUGGAUAGAAGAGUAGUGAUCGUGGCCAGAAAUGCACAUCGAGGCUUUGAAAGUUUAUAUAUAUAUAUAUAUAUAUAUAUUGAUGUCACUAGUUAUAAUGUAUUUUAAGAGUCUAAUCUUUUACUGGUACUUAAACAUUGUGUUUAAGGCCGAUAUAAGGACAUGAUCUUAUUGUAUGUUGAUAUUGUCAACAUUAAUAUUAUUGGAACUUUGGGGAUCAAAUUUUUGUUUGUGCAAUAUAUAUAU